UUUAAAAGUUCACAUUAAUAUACAAGUCAACACUUUUAUUCAAAGUCUAGUUAUAUUUUUCAAAUCAGCUCUUGUGUAGGGGUCCUUGUGUUUUGUUUGUUAUCGAUUCUGAUGGGUAGCGCCUUAGUAACCGCCAUAUUAGCAGCCGACCAGCGUAACUUCACUGCAAAUAGAAUCUCUAACCGAGAGGCUUCACUGCACUUUAUAAAUUACAUUUAAAGAUGGGGAAUGUAUGCUGCAGUGGUAAAGGAAAUGGGGGAGUCAUGAAAGAAGUCAACAAAUUCUGUAAGUGUGGAGGACCCCGCCCACAUUCCGGACACAGCCGAAAGGGCUCCGGACAUAGCCGAAAAGGCUCCGGAAAAGGCCGAAAGAAAGGACACCAUAAGCGCAGAGGAUCAGGGUCUUCCAAAGGAUCGCAUUGACCUCACCCGACCUAGGUCUUUGUUUUGUAAAUAUCACUGUUUUUGACUGUUAACCGCACCGACUUAAAAUCUGACAUAUACUCCUAAGAUUUGUUGAAACAUUAAUUAUGUUAGGGAAUGUGAAAGAUGCUACUCCAAAUACAUAUUUAGUUAACUUUGACGAUUGAAAACCGUGAAAAAAAUCCAACUCAAAGCGCCAGUAUGUGAUAACUGAAAAUAUUCCAAAGACAAAGAUUCAAUUAAGCAUUUAAAUUUUUGCACUUGUGAACAUAAUAUGUGGUCAUUAUUUUAUGAAUACACAUGCAUGUCCAUCCAGUAUUAAAACACAUUAUAGUGCCAUAAAAAAAUUUCCUAAA